rnacentral:tRNA from 1 species
AUAAGGAAGUGACAGAGUGGUUAUGUGACUGGCUUGAAACCAGUACAUGGGGGUUCAAUUCCUCCCUUCCUCG